UACGUAGGGGGCAAGCGUUGUCCGGAAUUAUUGGGCGUAAAGGGCGCGCAGGCGGUCUCUUAAGUCUGAUGUGAAAGCCCACGGCUUAACCGUGGAGGGUCAUUGGAAACUGAGAGACUUGAGUGCAGGAGAGGAGAGCGGAAUUCCUGGUGUAGCGGUGAAAUGCGUAGAUAUCAGGAGGAACACCCGUGGCGAAGGCGGCUCUCUGGCCUGUAACUGACGCUGAGGCGCGAAAGCGUGGGGAGCGAACAGG
rnacentral:misc_RNA from 1 species